rnacentral:lncRNA from 1 species
CAAAAAAAACCUUAGCCUCCAUUUCUGGUUCUGAAGCUGGAAGGGACUGGGAGUCAAAAAAGACAGUCAUUAGGUGGGGAAGAGAUUGUUUCCCCAGGGCUCAGAAGGAACUGGCCCGCCAACAUUUCAGCAUUAGCCCUCUAGCACCCAUUCUGGACUUGACCUCUACAAUGGUAAGAUAAUAAAUUUGGGGUGCUUAAAGUCCCUUACUCACCCAGUGCAUCGUAAGUUGUUACAACAGCAAUAGGAAACUAAUACAACUCCCACUGAACAAAAGAGAUUAAUAAAAGAAAAAACUGUAAACUUUUUCUAGGGAAGGAAUGUGAUGAUAAUAAAUCAACAUGACAUAUACAAACUAGCAACAGUCACUUUAGGGACUGUGAAAUCCUCAUUUGUUAAAAUGAAAGUAGAAUAACUCAGCCACUUAUAUACUUUACGAAGCACUUAUUUUCAUCUUCCUGGUCUCAGAAGACAGAUCGGUUUGGGCAUAAUAAAUAUUACAGAAUAGCAUUACCAACAUUUUUUUUCAUUGUCUGGGAGGGUUUUUUUGUUGUUUUUUUUCCCUAAACAUGAUUACUACAAAUAAGCCAUCCUGACUGUAGAAUCUAGUGCCUUCAGGAAUUUAGAAGAUAAUUAAAUUUAAAAGGAACAUUUAUGAUCAUUUAGCUUACUCCCUUCAUUUGAGAGAUAAAUUAUUGAACUCUAGAGAUAAAGAGACUUGACCAAAGUGACUCGGUUUUUAUUAUCCAAGUGGAAAGUGAAAUGCCACUCCCUCCUGAUCCUCCAGACGAGGGUCACUGGCAGAAGGUGAGAAGGACGAAAGGGAGGAUGAGAAGAGAGGGGAACCUGAAGAAGAGGGAGCAGCCACACAAAGGAGCUUGGAUUUACUCAGAAUGCAACAGGAAUCCAGGGAUAUGUUGUAUAUUUUUAAUGCAUAAAUUUAACAUAAAUUUAAUAACAUGAAUAUACAAAUUUAAUCUAGUAGAGAUACGAAAAUGAAAGUAGAGACCAGUCACAAGGUUAUUGCAAUAUUAGAGUGAGAGAUGAUGGCACAUGGAAGAGGGUGGUAGUCAAGGUGGCAAUGAGAAAUAGAUCAAUUCAGGAUCUACUCUGGGGUUACGAACGACAGGACUCAUUGUUAGGCUAGGGAUGGGUAAGGAAAAUAGUGAAAUCAGAUACUAUUCCAAGAGUGUGACUUAAUGUCGCCACAUCCUGAAGUGGGAAAAAUAAGGGGGAAAAUAAGAAUUCACUGUAUCUUUUAAGUUCAAAACACCAAUUAAACAUUAAUAGGUAAUUUCUUGAUUCGGUCCUUACAUGUCUACUUUUGCGUAGAGCUUUCUCCCAGGAAUAACAACACACACUUACUCUUCUUAUGCAGCUUUAAUUGAAGGAGGAACUAAGCAUGAGUGGUGUUGCAUAAGAGGAGUUCAAAGAUGUCUGCAAGGGAAGGCAGCAAAGGAUUCACCAUGAGACAGGUACUAACAAAGUGCUAUAGUAGUCAUAAGGAGACUGUUUCUCACUGGAAACGAAAAGAAUAAUUGAGGAAGUAUUAUUGAAAAAGGGUCUUUUUGGAGUGACAGGUGGUAUUCCAGAGAAAACUGUUCUCAAAGGUGAGGUGGUGUGGUAGUUCACAGCAUGCCCAAAGAAAUAGAGCACUCUUAUGUUGAUAGAUUUGUUCAUUCAUGAAGUAUUUAUUGAAAACGUAGUAUAUGUCAAGUAUUAUGUUACCUGAUAAGGAUUCAAAGAUGUGGCAGACACAGAACUGUGGUCCUCAGGAGCUUUACUGAGUAGAGUAGAAUAAAUUCAAGAACAUAUGGAAAAGAUAUGAAAACAAAUACUUAUUCAUACAUUUGUCAUUCUUUCACUAGAUAUUUGUCGAGCAUCUACUUGUUCUAUAAGUUGCACAUUGUUCUAAGACAUAUUCUGAUAUAAGUGGAUGUGCUUAUGAAAAUACUAGGCAAGAAACAGUAAAGUCCAGGUGGUUUUACUUUGGGAUGUGAUUGUGAUUAUUUAGGAAAGGUUUUACAAACCAGUCAACUCUUAAAUUACAGUAGUUGGAGUUAUGACCAAAAUACAAUACAGUAACAUACUAUGGAGGGCCCAUAAGCCAGUCCAAGGAGUUUGGGCGGUAUACUGUUGGCAAUAGGAAGUCAUUGAAAGGUUUUUAACACCUUAAGUGGCAGAAUUAGAGUUUUCAUUUGGCGCUUAGUAACUUGAUAUAGACAGAACUAAAGAAGGAUAAGCAGAGAGAGAAAGAGAAGUUUUGAAAGACUUUCAGUCUCCCAGAGGAAAAGUGAUGGAGAUCUGGUCUGAGGUGGAGAUAGCAGGUGUGGAGAGCUCAGGAGCCACUGCAGAGGUCAAAUAAAUGAGACGGGGGCCGCUAACCCGCCAUACCUUCUUUGUUUCCACAUCCAAGCCAGAUGACUGCUGCAAACGAAAGCAGCUUGAUGGGUAAAGAUGCACUGAAAUUAAGGCACUCAGAAGGAUAGGAACGCAAAAUGUAUUCUACUUCCACUACAGAAAACUGCUUUGCAGUUUCUCAAGAAGUUAAACAUAGUGUUACCGCGAUAUCCAACAAUUCCACUCCUAGGGAUAUUUACCAAAGAACUGAAAUCAUGUCUACACAAAACCCUAUACAGGAAUAUUUACAGCAGAGUCAGUUGCAAAUAGCCCAGAGAAGAAACAGACGUCCAUCAACAGAUGAAUGACAAAGAAAACGUGGCACAGCCAUGGAAUGAAAUAUUAAUCAUCUUUGAAAAUGAAGCACUACUUCAUGCUACAAUGAGGAUGAACCUUGAAAUAUAUCAAGUAAAAGGAACUAGACACAAAAAGUGACAUAUUAUAUAUUUGCAUUUAUUUUUUGAUUCUCUUUAAAUGUCUACAUUAAGCAAAUAAUUAGAGGCAGAAAAUAGAUUUAUGGUUUCCAGGGGUUUUGAUGGGCAUGGAUAGAAAAUGACUGCUAAUGUUUUCGGAGUUUCUUUGAGGGGAUGAUAAAAAUGUAAAAUCAGAUAGUGGUGCUUGCUGCACAACCCUAUGAAUAUACCAAAAAUCAUUGAAUUGUAUACUUUAAAAGGGUAAAUUUUAUGGCCUAUAAUUUGUAUCAGUCAGUGCUUACUAUAGAAACAGAUUUAAUCCAAGAUAUACAAAUAUAUAAAGAUUUACAAGAUUGGUUUACAAUGGCUGCCCACAAAAUCAAGUAUUACAAAAUCAGGUGUGGAAGAGUGGAAAAAGGUCUGUCUGCAUGAUCCAGAGGAUCCAGUCGAAGGCUCACUGUAGUGUCCUGGGCAAGUCCAUAUCAGGAGGCUGAAGGGUCUGCACUGAAAGGCUGAAGAUGAUAUCCAAGGUGAAGGUGAAGACUAGAGCUCCUUGGAAGAAACAGAAGCAAGGCUUCCGUCUUCAUUUCCCCUUUCUACCAUUCAGGUGACAGGCCAGCCUAAGGUGGGUCUUCGGUCUUCAGUAAAUCUCCAGCCACACUCAGAAUUAUGUUGGUCCAAACUUAGUUGGGCGUUUCCUACUCAAGUUGCCACUAUCGGUUAACUAUCACAUAAUUUACAAGUCAGUGACUUUACUGGAUAAAGAAAAUGUGGGGUUUUUUUAUAAAAUGGAGUACUACUCAGCCAUAAAGAAUGAAAAACUAGAGUCAUUUAUAACUAAAUGGAUGCAUGUGGAGGCCGUACUCUUAAGUGAAAUAAAUAGGACACACAUGUGUAAAUACCGAAUAGUUUCUCUAGUGUGAGAAACUGAUAGUGUAAACAAGGGUUAAAAUGAUUAAAAUGAAUAAUUGAUAAUUUGAAAUAGGAAAACAGGUCCAAAGACAAAGGAGUGAAGGGAGGGGAAGGGGAAAGGAAAAGAGGGAAAGGAAAAUCUAUGAGAAAAGAAAAAAAAAUGGAAAUGAAAUCUAUGUAAAUAGGGAAGGGCGGAGGGGGUGAAGGGUGCACAGGUAAUGGGGGAAAAAAUAAGAACCAAGAUCUAUCAUGUACAGGUACAGACACCCACUGAUAAAUGUAAACGAAUUGUAUACCUAAAGUGUACCAAUAAAAGAACUAAAAAAAAAAGUCAGUGACUUCAAGAUUCCAUAGAGCAUUACCAGGAUAUAGUGAACACAAGGAGGGACAGAUUUAGAGGAAGAAAAAAUGAGUUUGGGUCAUACUAAAAUUAAGACUAAUAUUUGUAAAUAUUUAGAUAGAAAUAUCUAUUAUUGGAAAUAUGUUUGUCUAAAGUUUGGAAGAGGUGGAUUUGAGUAUUGUCUAUAUGGAAGUGAUUGGAAACAUAGGAGUGUAUAAAAUUCUGAGAGUGAAAAGAUACGAUCAAGACAAGAUGAAGUGUUGACACACAUUGUAGAAAGGCAUCAAUGGGGAGAACAUUAUCCCCAAAAGAAAGAAAAACUAUCUGAAAAAAAUGCCUGUAAAAUACAGAGAACUGAUGUAUAUGGCCAGUGUGGCAGAGCACAGAGGUAAAGGCGGAAAGAUGAACCUGGAUGGGUCAUCAGAGGUGAGUUCAUAGAAACUUUGUAGGCAGGGAUCAGGAUGCUUGGUCCUUCUCUUAAGAAUAAUGUGAAGCUAUUUAAUACGUAUAGUCAUAAUUAAAUUUGCAUUUUUAAAUGAUCACUCUAGCUGUAACGUGGAGAAUAAUUUAGAGAGAGGUCUGGCCAAAAAUGGUGAUGAGAGAUACUAAUCUGAUAUAGCAUGGUGACAGUGUAGUUGAAGAGAUUUGAGGAUUUCAGCAACCUUAGUAUGGAUCAAAUAUGGAUGGUGAAGGAGAGGCAAGUGUCACAGAAUAGGUCUCAUUUUCUGCCUUUGGUUGUUGCUUGAAUGGAUAGUGGUCCCCUUGAACGGGAUAGAAAAGAAAUCCAUUGUUGGAGAUGAGUGGAAAGGUGGCAGUCAGAAUCCACAAUUGAGAAGAAAGCUGUGCGUACAAGUCUGCUGCCCAGCAGAGAGCUCUGAGGUGAAGAUGGUAGCUUAGACAUGGUCAGCACGCGGUUAGUAGUUGAGGCCAUGGAGUGAAUGAGAUUGAUUAGGGAGAGAGAACACAGCCAGAAGCAAACAAGACCAGUCUAGAGCUACAAGAUUAAUGACUAUAAUAAGCUUACAGAACACAAGCAUUUAACUGUCAAAUUGAGGAGAGUGAGCCAGUAAAAGAGUGGGAGAAAAGAGUUGAUGAGAGAAGUAGAAAGGACAUCAGGAUAAUCCAGUGUUAUAGAAACCAAGGAAAAGGGUUCAAAGAGAAACAAGUAAAUAGCUUUGGGUGAUGUUAAAUGACGAACAACAAUAAAGACUAAAAAUGUUGGUUGUAAAAAAUUAAUAUAAUCCUAUGGCAACAAUUUACCAUAAUAGAUUAAAUUACAAAACUGAAAUCUGAACUCAACUUUUUAAUAAGAAUGUGUGACUGAUAGUGUUUCUUGUUGUACAUGCUUUGCAAAUGCUGAAAGGAGUCCCUGUUAAUGACUGGGGAACUGAAACUUGGUAGCAUUCCAAGAAGCUUUCGUAAGAAGCCAUGACUCAGCCAUCUGGAGAGUGCUCCAGAGAUUUCCAAACCCGUAGCCUCCUGACUUCCCCCUUCCUACAAUCUCCACCCAAAAAAGACCAGGAAGGUAGAAAUGAACUUGGAAUUUCUAUAAUUUCUGAUAGUUUCUAAAAACAAAGAAGGUAGACACCCAUAUUCAACUCAUCAAGUCUUUUGAUAGCACAAAAACACAUUAUUUCAUAAGUCCAUCUUCCCACUUUCAUAUAACCCAUUCCCACUUCAGCAACCUAAAAGUUCAUGCUCUGAUUCUUCUUUCUGAAAAUAAGUUGGGGUUUAUCAAUUAUAAGUGUAACAACACUAGCAAUGUAAAUUACAGCAGUGUCCAACCCUUUUUGCAAAAUUGUCAUAGCCCAGUAAUGACUCCAGUCUUGAUGGUUAUCAGUGAGGUAGGAUGGUGAUUUUCUGUUAUUUAGGGUAAUUCAAUCCAAGCAGAACAUAAACAUUAGGAAAAUUUAUACUUUUGGCUAGAUCUAUUUUACAUGCAUUUGAAAGCUAGCUGUAUUUAAUCACUUUUUAUUACAUAAACUAAUGAUGUGGAUAAUGUUAUUGACUUUUUAUUCAUCUCUUAAUGGGUAGUUUCAGAGCUAACCCACAUAAAUGUCCUCCUACAGUGCUGCUAAAUGAUAUGAUUAAAGUCAUAUAGGAAAAUGACAAAUCAUUCAUCAAGAACCACAACCCGAAGUUACAGGGGUGAUAAAAUGGAGCUGAAAGCCAAAUAAUCCAGUCCCGGUCAUGCAGUUAACUACUCAAAUCCAGUCAUCUCGAGUGUGGUGUGUUCACACACCCUGCUUUCUCUUCUCCGCUGCUCUAUCUACCCGACUUGGUCAGCAGUCUCAUGCAUUACUAACUCUGUCUGGAGACAGCAGCCCAGGUGAAGUAUGCCUUCUAGAAAAGUGAGAAAUUACAGUGCCAAAGACACAGCCCUCUGAGGUGACUUAGAAUCAACUGGGCCGAGAUUCUGCACUUCUAGCAAGCUGCCUUGUGAUCCUAUCAUAUUGCUGCUGGUCCAUGGAUCCAAGCAGAGGAAGCUUAAGAAGACUGUUGUGGACAACAGUAGAUAAGAACUCAUCUUACUUUUCAAAUAAGGCCCUUUUUCUCACAGGUUCUGCGGAAGAAGAAACAAUCAGAGAGAUAACUCUGUGAGUUUUCACAAUAAAUGCAAUCAGCAGCACAAUAAAUUAUACAUUUUCAUCAUCCCUAGUAUACCUCCAUGUCCUUUGUGGCCAACCAGUGAGACCCCUUGAUCUGUUUUCUGCAGAAUGUCAUAUAAAAGAAAUCACAGCAUUUCAAUGCAGUCUUUUGAUAAUGGUUUCUUUCAUUAACUACAGCAUUAAAGCUUUAUUCUUGGUUUAUGUAUUAUUAUCACUUCCUUUUUUCACUGAGUUGUAUUUGCUUAUAUUGAUAUAUCACAUCUUGCUUAUCUAUUCCAUAAUUGAGAGAUUUUUUUUAUUUUGGUUAAUCUAAAAAUGGUAAAAAUGCAUGUAUAAAUUUUUGUGUGAAUGUAGGCUGUAUUUCACUUGACUAACAAGUGAAAUAAAAAUAACAAACAAUGAGAUUGCUGGGUUGUACGUCAAAUGUAUGUUUAUAAGAAACUAUCAAAGUGUUUUCCAUAGUUCUUUUCUUACAGUCUCACCAGAGUUCCAGGUUUAUUUUUGUAGUUUACUCACUCUCUCAAUGUCAUAAAUUAAUUUGCCUAUUCUUGAACAUCAAAUAAUGGAAUUAUUUAUGUGGCUUCUUUUGCUUAAUAUAAAGUUUGUAGAAUUCAUUCAUGUUAUUCCAUGUAAUAAGAGUUUAUUCUUUUUUGCUGAUGAAUAGUAUUCUGUAAUAUGAAUACAAACCUGUUUUGUUUAUUCAUUCAUUUGUUGUUGGACAUUUGGGUUGUAAGAAACAGCAGGGAAGUCACAAUAGUUUUGUGGUGUGUGUGUGUGUGUGUGUGUGUGUUGGUUAAUCAGCAGUUUCCACAAUAAAGAUAGGC